GCGGGCCAUUAAGAGAUUUUUUUGUUUGGCAAUUCAUUUCUUUGACUUCGUGGGCUGUUUGGUGUACAAUUGAUUGUAUGGGUAAUGAAAGAAUAAGGAAAAGUAAGAAAAGGAGAAAAUUGGUGGCGGGCCCAUGGCAUUUAAUCAUUGUUUUGAUAUUUUAUUUCAUGGUGAGCUGUAUUGAGAUUUUUUUUUUUUUGUCGGUGGAAAGCCAUUAUAUAGUUUGGAAUUUGUGCCUCAUGGGUGAGUUAAUUUGAGAAGACAAAUAGAGAAAUAUAGAGGAAAUACAAAGAGAGUGUGAGGAUACAGAAAGACGGCCGAGACUCAGAGGAUGCCGAGAAUUGUGGCCUUGAUAAUCCAGAGUUGAUUUAUCUAUUUUGCAGUUUUCAGGUACCGAGGAUAAGCUUGGAUUGCUAGUUUCGGGAUUAGGUGGAAGAAUAGGAGUUGAGGAAUUAAAUUACUUUAUUUAGAGAUUUUUAUGUUUUUAUCUGAGGAAAUUGAUUUAGUGUCAAUUUAAUUUAAUUUGAGAUGUUGUAUCUUAAUAUUGAGGAAAUUUGAUUGCGUAUCAAUAAAGAGUAUUUCAUUUAUUUGA